CUGACACGAUUAAGAAGAGGUUUUGGAACUGGGCCAGACUAGGAAAACAGGAAAGAUGACGAACAAAGCUUCCCUCCUUCUGAGGGUUGUUUAUUCCAGUGUUCCUUCAGUUGAGUUUUCUGGGUACACAGCAGCCCUUGGCUUUCCAUCCCAUGUGCAGCCUCUGGCCCAGCACUUAGUCCACUCUCAGUCAUAGAGCUUAUCACACAGACUUGCUCCAGUGCCCACUUGUCCAACUGCCCCAAACUCCUGGAAACCAGAAAGAACACAGAUGUAUCUCAACUGAGUGCCUACCAUAUUUCUACAGGAGGAACUGUCUUCGCAUAAAAGCCCCUCUGCAGCUCCUUAAGAGUCUUCUAUCUUCUGGUUUGUGGAUUGCAUCCCUGUGGUGUCAUCUAACACAUGAGUCCCCAAUCCUUUGUACUGGUCCUCGGCCUGAUUCCUAACAGGCCACACAGCAGGAGGUGAGUGGUGGGCCACUGAGCGAAGCUUCAUUUGUAUUUACAG
rnacentral:lncRNA from 10 species